rnacentral:rRNA from 1 species
UUUAUGGAGAGUUUGAUCCUGGCUCAGGAUGAACGCUGGCGGCGUGCCUAAUACAUGCAAGUCGAGCGAACGGACGAGAAGCUUGCUUCUCUGAUGUUAGCGGCGGACGGGUGAGUAACACGUGGAUAACCUACCUAUAAGACUGGGAUAACUUCGGGAAACCGGAGCUAAUACCGGAUAAUAUUUUGAACCGCAUGGUUCAAAAGUGAAAGACGGUCUUGCUGUCACUUAUAGAUGGAUCCGCGCUGCAUUAGCUAGUUGGUAAGGUAACGGCUUACCAAGGCAACGAUGCAUAGCCGACCUGAGAGGGUGAUCGGCCACACUGGAACUGAGACACGGUCCAGACUCCUACGGGAGGCAGCAGUAGGGAAUCUUCCGCAAUGGGCGAAAGCCUGACGGAGCAACGCCGCGUGAGUGAUGAAGGUCUUCGGAUCGUAAAACUCUGUUAUUAGGGAAGAACAUAUGUGUAAGUAACUGUGCACAUCUUGACGGUACCUAAUCAGAAAGCCACGGCUAACUACGUGCCAGCAGCCGCGGUAAUACGUAGGUGGCAAGCGUUAUCCGGAAUUAUUGGGCGUAAAGCGCGCGUAGGCGGUUUUUUAAGUCUGAUGUGAAAGCCCACGGCUCAACCGUGGAGGGUCAUUGGAAACUGGAAAACUUGAGUGCAGAAGAGGAAAGUGGAAUUCCAUGUGUAGCGGUGAAAUGCGCAGAGAUAUGGAGGAACACCAGUGGCGAAGGCGACUUUCUGGUCUGUAACUGACGCUGAUGUGCGAAAGCGUGGGGAUCAAACAGGAUUAGAUACCCUGGUAGUCCACGCCGUAAACGAUGAGUGCUAAGUGUUAGGGGGUUUCCGCCCCUUAGUGCUGCAGCUAACGCAUUAAGCACUCCGCCUGGGGAGUACGACCGCAAGGUUGAAACUCAAAGGAAUUGACGGGGACCCGCACAAGCGGUGGAGCAUGUGGUUUAAUUCGAAGCAACGCGAAGAACCUUACCAAAUCUUGACAUCCUUUGACAACUCUAGAGAUAGAGCCUUCCCCUUCGGGGGACAAAGUGACAGGUGGUGCAUGGUUGUCGUCAGCUCGUGUCGUGAGAUGUUGGGUUAAGUCCCGCAACGAGCGCAACCCUUAAGCUUAGUUGCCAUCAUUAAGUUGGGCACUCUAAGUUGACUGCCGGUGACAAACCGGAGGAAGGUGGGGAUGACGUCAAAUCAUCAUGCCCCUUAUGAUUUGGGCUACACACGUGCUACAAUGGACAAUACAAAGGGCAGC